rnacentral:rRNA from 1 species
AAGCGCACGCAGGCGGUUUGUUAAGUCAGAUGUGAAUCCCCGCGCUUAACGUGGGGAACUGCAUUUGAACUGGCAAGCUAGAGGUCUUGUAGAGGGGGGUAGAAUUCCAGGUGUAGCGGUGAAAUGCGUAGAGAUCUGGAGGAAUACCGGUGGCGAAGGCGGCCCCCUGGACAAAGACUGACGCUCAGGUGCGAAAGCGUGGGGAGCAAACAGGAUUAGAUACCCUGGUAGUCCACGCUGUAAACGAUGUCGACUUGGAGGUUGUGCCCUUGAGGCGUGGCUUCCGGGAGCUAACGCGUUAAGUCGACCGCCUGGGGGAGUACGGCCGCAAGGUUAAAACUCAAAUGAAUUGACGGGGGCCCGCACAAGCGGUGGAGCAUGUGGGUUUAAUUCGAUGCACGCGAAGAAACCUUACCUACUCUUGGACAUCCACAGAAUUCGGCAGAGAUGCCUUAGUGCCUUCGGGAACUGUGGAGACAGGUGCUGGAUGGCUGUCGUCAGCUCGUGUUGUGAAAUGUUGGGU